AACGUUGAUGAGCUGACGACCUUCAUAUAUCAUUUAAUGUGUUAGAUUUCCAUGAUUUAGGACAGGUCAAAUAAAAGUUAAAUUCAACCUUUUUGAAGUAAAGAUAAUAAUAUAACCCUUCUCGCCAUAGAAAGCGACCCAUCAGCACGAUGGCGGAUGAAAUACGCAGGAUAGCCGCUUUGCUGGAGCAGUCACUGAGCGAAAAGGACCAGGACCUAAUUUCUUUCAUCAAGCAGAAGAACGCCACUGAGCUGAAGAAGGUGACUAGUUACACUCCGGAGAAGGUGGUCACCCGCAGUGACACGAAGCGCGUAUCACUGCCCCCCUCAGAUGACCAGGGAAAGAACUAUUGUGAGAGAAGACAGGCGCUUCUCAGUACAGGAUUCUUCUGCCCAGCGAACAGACCAUACAAAAGUGUUGGACUACUUCACACGGACAACAUUGACCUUUUCUCCUCCUGGCUAACCCCUGACGACCAGAGGUCUCUGAAGUCUCACUGGGAUAAGAAGUAUGGCAAGAAGCCAGGAAGCACACCAACCUCCAGCAAGUUCAAUCAGGAAAAGGUCAAAAAGGAUGAGAAUAUCCUGGUAGGUCCGGCUCAGGACACCCAGGUGGGGAAAGGCUUCCUGCAUCUGAGACAGUACCUCAGAGAGAUGGCCGCCAUCCAGGUCACCCUCAGGAAUGGACGCCCACUCAUCUUCUGUCUAUGGGAACAAGAUGGACACUCAAUGCACGGCAGGUCCUCUUGCAACAAGGUCACAUCAGAAGGGGAGACCUUGAAGCCGGUGUCUCUGUGUAUGAAUGAACAGCUGGACCCAGAGGAGGAGACCAUACGAGAGAGGGCGUUUGCCAGGAAACAGGAGAGUUUCUCAGAGCAGCUCCAGUGGAUCUAUAAGAUAUUGUGUGGGAUAUCACACAUGCGCAACAGAGACCUGAAGACACUGGUGCCCCUGAACAGCUCCUAUGUGAGCAUCAUCAUGAAAGACACAGAGAAGACCAACGUCCUUCUGAAGCGGUCGCACAGCUUCUACAACCCCCCAGUGAGUGUGAGUCGCCGCCUGGUGCCUCUGGCCCCAGAGGACUGCCAAAACAUCACAGAUGUGUGGGAGACAUUUAUUACUCAGGACAGUCCAGAGACCAAGUCGGGGCGAAGGAUUAAGUCAGUGCAGUGUGGCCUGAAGAAGAAGCUGGUGUCUGAGGUGGAGACUGCUGAAGUGCCUCCCUGGCUUGCUCUACAACUGGAGGACAACACCUCUCUAGAGAAGAAGCCUCAGAAGCCAGACGACCAGAUCAGCAUGCUGGAGAAGGCCAAGGCUGAGUUCGUGGGCGUCAGGCGAGCGCUUAACUACCAGCUCGAGACUGACGUUUUUGAGAAGAAAAAAAACCGUGAGGAGAGGAUAAAGACACUCCUGAAUGCUCUGAUGACGUCUAAGACGGGGCCCAUCCUCUCCACGCUGCUCAUCUCCCUGAAGAGUGAAUUCAAGGAGCCCAAGUCCACCGGCAGCUUAUGGUUUACCAAGCUGAAACAGAAUGCCUUGGAUUUAGGCGGAGAUAAAGACUCCAGAUUCCAUGACAUCCUGAAGAAGAUCUCCCAGUUUCAGAACUUCAACAACAAGAAAGUUCCAUACUCCAAGGAAAAGUUCUGCCUGCUUGUCAUCUCCCUCCCAGCCAAUCAGCUCCUUCGUCCCGCCCUUCAGGAGGCCCUCCUCUUCCUGACCGAUCACGUGCUCCAGAUCCUCCCUCGGCAGGUUAGGCAGUGGUACCAGUACCUCAAGCUGCCCUUUUCUGUUGCAACGGAAACCUGAGGGGUCACCUCCAUCCGCAGCCUCCCCCCCCAAAUUACCACAGCUUGUCCCUGCUACCUCGCCACAUCUGUUAGACCUUAAAACCUCCUAUUUCCUCUCCCUCUCCUGUCUC
ensembl:lncRNA